AAAGCACCUCGCAGAUCAGUCAGAUUCCCUGACCCAGAGCAACAGGAGAAUGUGGUGGAGUGUAUCAAACCAGUGGAAAAGAGGAUUUCAAGAAGAGUCAGUUUUGCCCCUGCUGAUGAUGUUCUCGUAUUUACAAAGGAUGUGAAAAAUGCCCGAAGUCCUUUGCAAGACUUAAUGACAA